AUUGAACGCUGGCGGCAGGCCUAACACAUGCAAGUCGAGCGGAUGAAGGGAGCUUGCUCCUGGAUUCAGCGGCGGACGGGUGAGUAAUGCCUAGGAAUCUGCCUUGUCGUGGGGGAUAACGUCCGGAAACGGGCGCUAAUACCGCAUACGUCCUGAGGGAGAAAGUGGGGGAUCUUCGGACCUCACGCUAUCAGAUGAGCCUAGGUCGGAUUAGCUAGUUGGUGGGGUAAAGGCCUACCAAGGCGACGAUCCGUAACUGGUCUGAGAGGAUGAUCAGUCACACUGGAACUGAGACACGGUCCAGACUCCUACGGGAGGCAGCAGUGGGGAAUAUUGGACAAUGGGCGAAAGCCUGGUCCAGCCAUGCCGCGUGUGUGAAGAAGGUCUUCGGAUUGUAAAGCACUUUAAGUUGGGAGGAAGGGCAGUAAGUUAAUACCUUGCUGUUUUGACGUUACCAACAGAAUAAGCACCGGCUAACUUCGUG
rnacentral:rRNA from 1 species